rnacentral:rRNA from 1 species
UACAGAGGAUGCAAGCGUUGUCCGGAAUCACUGGGCGUAAAGGGCGCGUAGGCGGCUUGAUAAGGUUGCGGUGAAAGCCCGGGGCUCAACCCCGGGUCGGCCGUGGCAACUGUCGAGCUGGAGCACUGUAGAGGCAGGUGGAAUUCCGGGUGUAGCGGUGGAAUGCGUAGAGAUCCGGAAGAACACCGGUGGCGAAGGCGGCCUGCUGGGCAGUGGCUGACGCUGAGGCGCGACAGCGUGGGGAGCAAACAGG